AUUAUGUUUUGGCUCUGAAUUUAAUUAUCUCUGCUCCACUGACGUUGAUUUUAUGUCAAUAGAGACAUAAAAUCAACCAUCAUGAACCUGAUUAAAGUGGAGCUGAUAAGACGAGGCCUGUCAUCACAUAGCAUAAUAUUAGUGUCAUGGUAUAAGUUACUACAGCCGCCCCCUAGUGGCUAAAAAGAGAAUGAAUCUGAUUCUUGCUGGUAAAAGUGAUUUGAUAUAUAGGGGUUUUUCUUUAAUCUCUCAUCUGAUUCUUGUGGUUAUACUUAUUUUAAUUUAUGUGAAUGAUUUUUUUUCUUUUAAUGUGAUCAAAUGCUAUAAAGUCAGAAUACUCUCAUAUAUAUUAUUUCCAAUUGCUCAUCAAUCGUUGCAAACAGAAUAAAAUUACAUGAUAU